rnacentral:rRNA from 1 species
UGGGGAAUAUUGCACAAUGGGGGAAACCCUGAUGCAGCAACGCCGCGUGAGUGAUGACGGCCUUCGGGUUGUAAAGCUCUGUCUUCAGGGACGAUAAUGACGGUACCUGAGGAGGAAGCCACGGCUAACUACGUGCCAGCAGCCGCGGUAAUACGUAGGGGGCAAGCGUUGUCCGGAAUGACUGGGCGUAAAGGGCGCGUAGACGGUUUUUUAAGUCUGGAGUGAAAGUCCUGCUUUCAAGGUGGGAAUUGCUUUGGAGACUGGAAGACUUGAGUGCGGAAGAGGUAAGUGGAAUUCCCAGUGUAGCGGUGAAAUGCGUAGAGAUCGGGAAGAACACCAGUGGCGAAGGCGACUUACUGGGCCGUAACUGACGUUGAGGCGCGAAAGCGUGGGGAGCAAACA